GAGCUCCCCCCCCCCCCCCCCCGUGUGGAUGGAGCAGCGAGGGCCCGAGACGGGAACGGAUGGGAACUCGUAACGGCACCUCUCUGCACUAGCUGCGAGGAUUCCACGAGUUAGCCUGUGCUAAGCUUUGAACAGGGCCUGUCUGGAGUAAGCCUGGCCACGAGGUUGCUGUCAUUGCUUUUGUUCCCUCCGUGGCCAUGAACCUGUUUCCAAAGGAAAACACGGCUGUGCCAAAGGACCACCCAGCCCAGCCCACGAGACACCUCUGCCAUCCCAGAGUGUCGCUGCCCCCACUGGGAACAAGGAGCAUUUGCUCAGAGGCCUAGAGACCGGAGCACCGGGCAGAAGAGGCUGAGCCGGUCUGUGGCCAGCGACUUGGAGGAGUCCCUGAGUCAUGGUCACGCCAAGCACACAGCUCCUGCCAGCUCCGUCCCGGGCCCACUGGGGCCCGACUUUGACCUGCAUGGGCCGCAGGCUCUGUGUGCGGCUGGGACAAAGCCACAGCCGCGUCUGAGCAGACGGCAGCCGGCACCGAGUUCCGCCCAGCAGAGCCAAGGCGGGAAACUGCCGGCUCCUGGGCGGGCACGUCUGAGAGGGUGAGAUGCUUCUGGACCGGCCUCCACAGGGACGGGCUCGGGGUGCACCUGGCAAUGCGUGGCAGCGCCAUCUCCCCAAACUCCUGCCGAUGACAGACGUUCCACGGAGAACCUCGGCCAGUUCGAGAAAUACUCAUUCAUGAGCAAGAAGCCCGUCACCGCAUCGUUUUUUAACAGUGAGAUGCUGGAGAAACCAUCCACCUUGAAUAAGGAGCUGGUUACACGCAGCACCACGCACCCGCGCUAAGCACGCGCCGGCCGAGCUGCAGGGAGGAGGCAAAUGGGGCCCCUGUGAGCACAGUGGUCGGACGGAGCGCUCCGUAAACAGCAGGUCGCAGAAGAAGGUGUGUGCUCUGAUCCCGCAGAACGAGCCAGUUGGCCUCCUUGGGCCCCGGGUUCGUCACCUGCGCCUUGGGAUCAUCACCCGUCCUGUCUAACUCAUGCCACGCAGAGAGCCAGGCGCCACCAGAGCAGAGCAGCCCCGAGGAGCCCACAGAGCGCGUGCGUGGGAAGGCGCUACCCCGACCCAGGAGGCUGGAAUCGUCUUCUGAGCGUGUGCGGGGCAGGGGAGGCGUCCAUCGAGCAUUCCUUGCAGACGCCGUCAGAUGCUGUGGGUUCUUCCCCGUGGAGGACUGAGCCUUGGCCAAGGUCCAGCACCCCAGGGCCUCCCCGCGUGCCUCGGGCCCUCCAUCCGUAGAGGUCUAGGGACACCAGGAGUACAAUGGGCGCUGUCCCCAGCACGGCACUCAUCGAGUUAAACCCACGAAGGGCAGGAAGGAAGAUUCCAAGGGGGCAAGCCCCUCUGGACGGAGAAGAGCCAUCUCUUCGGGGCACUGCAGUCUUCUGUCUCUGCGACCACCUCUGAGGCCAUCCGUCAGUGUCAAGGCUGGCGAGGAAGGUCUGCAGACACCCACUCCUCUGUGCAGGGCACACAGUUUAAAACAUUUGUAUAUGUAGCCCUGGCUGGUGUAGCUCAGUGGACUGAGCUCGGGCUGUGAACCAAAGUGUCGCAGGUUUGAUUCC